AACAAUCCAAGUGCUCCUAUAAGGGAGUGCCAAGUAGAAUUUCACGGCACUCUUUAUACUCGGCAAUGACAAAGACUGGAGGAAAUUGAAAGUAUAGAGCCCCUUAUAUUCUAAUCGUCCCUCCAAACACUCAUCUUCUCCCUGGCCCAGUUUUCCAACUGAUGCAUUUCUCGAAUUCACCUUUGCCCUAUUGAUUCUCUUUCACAACCUUGAGCCAUGUGAACCCCUCGAAUUCUUGACAUACCAGCCACAUGAUUCUACUCCAUACUCAACCACUGUCACUUUCCUCUAUAAGCUACCUUGCUCCCACAUGAGCCUCCAAAGCCACUUUCCUUGGAGAGUCGAGUUGAACUCAACCAAAAUCUCACUCCUAGCUUACCCCUCUGAAAUGGUUGUUUCACCAUAUCCCAC
rnacentral:lncRNA from 1 species